UGGGGCUCAUCCUUAUCUCUCCCUCUCUCUCCCUCAUCCGUUCCCUCUCUUCCCCUUCGUACGCAACUUCCUCAACCCCUUCUGUUUUUGCUUCUCUUCCAUUUAUGUUCCGUUAAAGCUCAGCCCCUCUUCUCCAAAUCUAUUGCUCCCUUCUCUUCAUGUGUCUCCACCGAACCCCUCCAUUUCCCCAGCCUGCUGCCACUCGUCCGUCUGCCCCCACCAGUCAACCCAGCAAAACUCUCCUCCUGGUGUUGACUCCAGCAGUCCAUCAACAACCCCCAUCUCCACCGAAGCAACCCACGAUCCACUCCCAUGUUGUCGCUCCACCAUCGGCUGUUCCCUCCACCGAAUCAAUGCCGCUCGACCUCUCCCCAUUUCCCCUGCAGCGGCCCACGAAGUCAGCCCACUGUCCCUCUAUUUCUCGCCCACCUUCUCCGCUAGAUCGUGCAGCCCAUGCACGUCCAGCCCAUCCCGCGUCCACCACCAAUCAGCUGUAUCGAAGCCAGCCCAUUCCCCACCGUUCAGCCACCUCUAAGUCACGUCGUAGGCAGCCGUUCAGCCCAGUCCAGGAUCGAAGACAGCAGCUGGGCCGUGAGCCUAGCAAGGUUUUUGGGCCCUCCCGGGCUCCCUUUGGCGUCGUUGUAAGCCCAAGUUUCGACCAUCGUCAUGUUGCCAUCGCUGUGGACUCACCGGCUCGCUAAUCUAGUCCUUAGAUGGCGGUUCCCCUGGAAUGUUUUGGACAGCCGCAAGCUAUUACUGAGCAAGGUAUGGACGUCCCAGUCCUUAGAAGUCAUUGGGCCUAUGAGCUAGUGGUGACCACCGUUUAGGUCGAUGAGGGCUUACCUAAGAAGAUACCUCAUCGAUUCAGGGCGUGGUAUCUUCAUGAACUCAAUGGGUAUAGGGUAGACCCCAUUCAGGGAUUUGAUAUCCCUGUCGUUGCGCUCAACGCCACUUUAGGCGAGAACGUAGUUGACCCUCCUAAUGGUGUUGUGGAGGACCCGACGCCCUCGGAGCUUGUGGAGACCGAAGGAUCGGCAAAUGGGUCCAGCUAGCUGGUCAUAGGAUAGCUUCGUUUUGAGGACCGGUCUUCUGUAGACUUUAGUCUUUAGACUAGUCUAUAUAUAAACGGGGGUGUUUAUGAAAGUGGUUUGAUUGUGAAUUUGUUGUCAUGUUUUUCUAUCACAUGUAUGUUAUUGUCAGGGGAUUAGUUUA